AUUUGUCUCAUAUUUUAGAUUCUACAUAUAAAAUAUCACAUGUUAUCUGUCUUUCUCUUUCUGACUUGCCUCAUUUCCAUCCCUGUUGUGGCAAAUGGCAUUAUUUCAUUCUUUUUUAUACCACAUCUUUUUUAUGCAUUCUUCUUUUGAUGGACAUUUAUUUAGGUUGUUUCCAUGUCUUGACUAUUGUAAUUAGUGCUACUGUGAACAUAGGGGUGCAUGUAUGCUUUCGAAUUAGAGUUUUCUCCAGAUAUAUGUGCAGGAGUGGGAUUUCUGGAUCAUAUGGCAACUCUAUUUUUAGUUUUUAUUUAAGUUUUUAACCUCCAUACUGUUCUCAUAGUGGUUGCACCAAUUUACAUUCUCGCCAACAGUGUAGGAGAGUUCCCUUUUCUUUAUAUUCUCUCCAGCAUUUCUUAUAUGUAGAUUUUUAAUGAUGGCCAUUCUGUCUGAUAUGAGAUGAUACUUCACUGUUGUUUUGAUUUAUAUUCCUCUAAUAAGUAGAAAUGUUGAACAUCUUUUCAUGUGCUUAUUGGCCAUCUGUAUAAGAUGGCUUUCAUCAAGACUAGCAAAGAUUGCAUAGAUGGCACAGCCAGGAUAAAGAUAUUUUCAUAAGUCUCACUUGUAAUUUGAUUAAUAUUUAUGAAGUGGAUAUUAAAAUUUUAUAUUAAGCAUAUUCAUCUAUAUACAAAGACCAUACUUCAUGUGCAUGUGUGUGCGCGUGCGCGCACACACACACACGUACUCACACACACAUCCCUAUACAUAUAUCAAGACUAUUUAGUAGAUGUUUACUUUAGUGCACAGGUAAGUAUGAUUUGUAAUCAUCAUAUUGACACAUGAUCAAGUAUUACAGUUUCUGCUUACAUUAUAAUACCCAUGAAAUUUCAUUCACAUUGAGAUUUAACACCUUGAAAUAAUUUGAGAAACAAAUGGAGCUAAAAGUAAAUGUUAGAGUUUUAGUUGUUUGUAUCAGUACUAAAUCAUGGGGUUAAAAUGUCUAAAAUGUUUUUCAGACAUUAAGAACUAAUAAUUUUCCAGUAAGCAACUAUGAUGCAGGUAUGGUACUAGUGAAUGCUGAGUUGGAAGAAAACAAAACUGAAUAGAAAGAGAUGUAGUUUGCAGUGCUAUUCUGAGAAAGUUUUAGUCAUUCUAUGAGAACCCCAGAGCAAGGAAACCCAUUAAAGGAUUUCUGUUUCGGUGAGAAUAUCCCAGAUAUAGUAUUUAAUUCUCAUAGUCAUUAUUUAGAAAGAAUCUGGGGAGGACAUAACUCAGUUUGAGUGCUGUGAUGGUUCCCAAAGCUGUUAUAUAUACCAAAGGAUCUCUAGUAGCGAUACACCUCAGGGCAGGUUUUUAUUGAUAGGAGACCUGAGGAGAACACCUCCAUUUUUGCCAUUAAAAAUAAUAAGCAAAUACUAGAAAAUUACGACUGACUAGACUAAGAAAAGUAAAAAAUUAUGUAUGUAAAGUUGAAUUGUUGAUGUAAGCCAGAAAAAAUAAGGUUAACCCUACUAUAUUAACGCUACUUUAUUAAAGUGAUUCAUGGGCCAAAGCCUUACUCAGAAUUUAAAAUGUGUUCAUUGAGUUAUGCGUAAGUUUAUCUGUCAGACAGCCAUGAGAUAAAACUUUCAAUCGUUUCAUAGGCUUUAAAAUGCAACUUUAAAUGUUUCUAGGAAUUUAUAAUCUGUUCAAAACUAAAUAUUAUGAAUAACUUGGGAAUAACUAUUUUGUGUUAUCAGAUAUAUGGGAGGAUCAUAUUUUUUAAAUGGUAAUGCAGAAGAAAAUGUUAAGAAAUAGUUCAUUAUCACUCAUGAAUAAACUUUAAAUCUUGGAUACAAUAAAUGAUAUAAAAUUUCUAAGAAAGGACAGAUGUUUACUCUGUUUAUGAUUUAGAAAUCAUACAUUUCUAAUGGUGCCAAAAAUUUAAAAUAUAAUAUUAACGAAGUGAAUUGUUUUACAAAUCAGAAUAAAAUUUAUGAAAAGUUCUUUUAACCUCUGGAUCCUAUGCAAAGUCUUGGGAAAAAAAGAUGGAAAACACUACUAAGGCUGAACACAGUAACUCUCUUUCUUGGAAAUUAUUCAAAGCAGAUAUUCAGUGCAAAUACUGAUGUAUAUUUAUGAAUAAAAUAGGAUAUUUUUAUUAAAGAAGAAUAAAAAUUAUAAAAAUAAAUUAUGGUAAAGCUUUUCCCUAGGGUAUUUUGUAUUUUAUUUUAACAAUUUAGCAUUUCAGUAUCAAUAAACUGUCUUUAAAAAUGUAGGGGAGUUUCUUGAAAUUUGUAAUAAUUGCUUUCAGAUUUGUCUCAUAAUUUGUUUCAGGCACUGGAUAGAUUUGUUGUUUUGAUAAUGUACUCUUUGGUAAAGUCAGGAGAUACAACAAUGUGUGGCCGCCUACUUUAAAUGCUCUCAGAACAUGCAGAUAUUUAAAACUGCCUCAUUUUACAGCUUGUGGGACAAAUCAGCUCUCACUAGCCAUCCCUGUGUUCUUAUGGGGCCUCUCCAACAGCAUAGGCAGAGGAAUAUCUACUUUGGGUGGCCCCUGGGGCUCUUACCAUACCCCCUGGACAUUGAAGGUUGUAUUUCAUGGCUCUCUUGCUGAAUUCUCCUUGCCCACCCCUCACCACCACCAUGACCCUUUUGUACAGGGUAUAUGAUGGCUAAACCCACAUGGAUUCCUCUCUUGUGUCCACAAGAAGCAUUCACCCACCCCUUGCCCUAACUGGACCAUUUCCAAAAGAGCAGCAGCCUUCGCUCUCUGGCUUUAUUUCAGAAGCAAGUCAUCAGCCCUUCCUUUGUCCUUUAGAAGUACCCUGCUGUCUGUCUGCUUUGGUUUUCACUGUUAUGAGUCAGCCUGCUAACUGUGGCUAGUCCAUGAACAAGGAAUACUUUCAAGCUCUUUGAGGGAAUCCCUGCUCCACUAAUAAUUUUCACUUGUAUCAUUUACGCUAUUGAAAAAUUAAUUAAACUGAGAAGGAAAUAUAUUCUAGUAUUGUUUCAUUUUUCAGUAAGUGGAAUAAACAUAAUAUUUGGGGAUGGUAGAAGAGGAACAUUUAAUUUACCUGGAGAUAGAUCAUAGAUUUUAAUAACCUGAAGAAUUUUCAGUAAAAAAAAUUGUGUCAUCUGUAAAUUAUAUAUAGAGAGAGGUUAUUGGUAUAUUUACUAAUUACCAGAAUGCUCCCAUGUUUUGACUUUCAUACCUUUUGGUACUACUGUACGUAUAAACUAAAUGAAUUUUAAAGCAUGUCACGGUUGACUUCUAAACUUUAAGCCACAAUGACUAUAAUCCUACUUUCUGAUUUUAUGAUGUAUUCAAUUAACUCAAAAACAAUGUAGCCACAGAGAUUAUGAUAUGUGCACAGUAAUUUAAUUUACUGCUUAAGACUCAUUGCCCUAAUCAAGAAUUCAUAGUCCAUAUUAAUUUUUAGCAGAAAGACCACUUUCCACAUACAGCUGCUAUGAGCCUCAGUUAUUGUUAUUUUAAUCCUCACCAGUAACUUUACUACAAUUAAAUUCUCAUAGCACAGGGAAAUGUAUCUAUAGAACAGGGAACUAUAUCUAUAGCAAAGGGAAUUCUAUCUAGUCACUUGUGAUGGAACAUGAAGGAGGAUAAUGUGAGAAAAAGAAUAUAUAUGUAUGACUGGGUCACUUGGCUGUAUAGUAGAAAUUGACAGAACACUGAAAACCAACUUAAUAGAAAAAAUAAAAAUCAUAAAAAAUAAUAAAUUCUCAUCGAUGAUAUUAAUGACUUGUUACCCAGUGAAAAUUAGAAAUUGGCUUUCUGAGGAAAUUAGUAAAUGCAAUAUAUGCUAACUGGUUUACAUAUUUUGUAGACAUACUCACCUUCACCCAGCAUUAAUUGGCCUAAAAAUCUGUCAGCCUUGUAUGUGUCUAUAUACACAGGCAUCAAUCCCUACGCUUGGUUGUUAAGGCCCUUAGUACAAAGAGUUUUGGUUUCCAAAACCAGCCUGUGAAAUAUAGUCCAUUUGCCUUAGGUAAUCUUUCAUGAAAAGUUUUAAAAACACCCAAAGGUAAGAGUCCCUAAGCCCACAGAAUAGUUUGCUUGAGUUUGAUUUCUACUGACUGGUAAAUGUCUGUGUAAUGGAAUUAGGUCAGACAGGCCAUUUGCCUAACAACUUUCAACUUGCUGUCAACUCUGUCUGACUAUUGAAGAUUUACAUGCUGUAGUCUAGUUCAAAACAGCAGUGGAAGGGAAACAGUGAAGGAAUUGUGGAAAGGGGAGUGUCUAGCAAGGCUCACACAGAAGAUGGUUUUUCAGCCAAGUAUUAAAAAUGAUUAAGAUUUUGCCAGUUGACUAGAACAUAUAAGGAAAAUAUUUAGCACAUAGAAUUUUUCUAUGUAGAUUAAUUUUUCUAUGUAAUUUUUCUGUGUAUGUUGAGGGGAUGUGAUUUAUUCAGGAAACUAAACUAUGGCUGAAAUUUAAGGAUUUUAAGAUAAAAGUACAAGUGGGGGCUGGGGGCUGCAUUAUAAAGAGGUCUAUGUAGUAUACCUCAGUGUUUUUCAGACUUUUUGACUGCAACUAGUGCAGUCAGGAGGGGUAGGCCAGCAGCUGGUGGGCAGCACAUGAGCUGAAUCAUGGAAUCUGCGCUUGCCCUUGCCCAGCUGUGUGCUGCAUGACACCUGCACAUGCCAAAAGGAGAGCAAUAUUAAAU
rnacentral:lncRNA from 1 species